rnacentral:lncRNA from 1 species
CUCGAUUUUGAAAUUUAAAAAUUAAAAUGAACUAAAAACAACGCCCUCUGGAAUCUAUAACGUAAGUUGGAUCUGGAUCAGAAGCAUUGAGGCAAUCUUGAUCGACGUUUAUUGCCGCAAUCGGAGUCAUCGCCGAUGGCGGAGCCACCUGUGAAGUCGCGGAGCUCUUCUUCCUCGAGCUCUAGUGAAGUUUCUAUUAAGCUUGAGCGCGAAAUUGGCGGUGGAAGUAGCAGUGAAGGUAAAGAAGUGUACAACAGAGAGACGAGUACCAGUGUGAGUGCCGUAAAUAAUGGAAAUGCUGAGUCCUCCGGUUAGUUGAUUUUUUUUUCCUUUUUUUUUCUGCAUACUUACUUAAAUUAUUAUUCGCAAGCAAAUCCUGAACUUCCAAGGAUAAGAUUGAGCCUAUAAGGGGAGCGUAUUGAGAGUUUCUUACGUAUUUUAUAUGUAGGUUUUCAUAUUAUUAUGUUCUUAUUGUUUGUUUUUGUAGGAGAUUCUAUCAGAGAUAGACCUAGUGUUCCUAGUAUUCCCAGGACCAACAGUUAUCCGGUGGAGGUGUUGAGCACCAAAAAGUUGGAACCACAAACUUCAGGUGAGCUGAGGUUGGAAAGGGCAAAAACUGAGACUCAUAGACCGCGUGCUAUACUUGCAAAACAUGCAGCACAAAUUUUUGACAACAAGAUUCCUGUCCAGCAGAAGGUAUGACUUAUUACAAAUAUUUGUUGAGAUCAGCCUCGAAUGUCUGUGAAGCAUUUUGUUCACACAUUGUGGCUACGGUUUUGCUAGCAUAGUCAGGAAUCCUUAUUACCCCAUAGAAUACUUGGUUAGCAUACUGAACAUUGUCAAAUUUUCCCUUUUAUAAGCACUAUUUGAAUUCUAUUACUACUUCUGUAGAAUGAUAAAAUUUGCUAGUUUUUCACUGCUAUGAGAAAUUCAUAUUGCUUUGAAGCGGACGAUCACCUUUGGAAGCAGCUGACUGGGGCAGUGGUUUUGAGUUUGCUUGCUCUUCCCGUGCACUCUAAGAAACAAACUGGAUUACCAGGUGGAAGGCACAGCCCACGUGAUUCAAUUAGAACAGGGAGCAAUCAUUUUUUUUUUUUUAAUCUUCGUGACCUAAACUCAAACUAAAGCAGCUGCCUCUAGCUAUUAAUUGAAUACCAUAAGCUCACAAGCCAGAAACAAUGGUCUUCUUUCCAUCAGUCUUAGGCCGGUCCCUUUUUAGAGUUCGAAGAGAAAGAAAGAAGGAGUGCGGGCGCCCUUAUUUUUUUUCAUGCGGACACGUUUUUAAGCCGUGCGGUUUUAUAGAGUCAGAUUUUAAUGCUAUUAAACUGUAUGGUUUUAUAGUGAAAUUAAAAAUAACUCUUUUAAGCUGCAUGUUUAACAGCAUGUCUGCAUUAAAAAAAAUGAGGGCAUCCACACCUGAGAAUGAAUAUAUAUAUAUAUAUAUAUAUAGAGAGAGAGAGAGAGAGAGAGAGAGAGAGAGAGAGCAGACUAAAGAAAGCAGAUGUGACCACUGCGCUUUACCAAUCUAUUAGUUAGGGAAAUGGAGCACCUUAACAUUGAGGAAAACUUGAACCUGUCUGCUAGGAGCCUCUUUCCAUUUUAUAAGCGCUGUUCGAAUUCUAUGACUAUUUCCGUAGAAUGAUUUAAUUUGCUAGUUUUUCACAAUUCUUUAGUGCAAUACGGUGAAUCAUAUUGAACAUUUUGUGUGGGACAACUUUGUAUGAUUGGAACUUGUUGGAAGAUUACAAUAACCUGCCCUUGUAGAGUUUAUUCGAUACUUAAAUCUCUGUAUAGACAAGUUCAUUUGAGGGCUGAUUUUCUGUAAUUUCUCUUGUGAGAUGUUUGCCUAAAAUAUCACAUUGGGGGUGUAGUGACAUGCCUUUAGGUAAUGUACUGCUAGAAACAUUUUACAAUUGCUAUUUGUUCCUUGGUCAUUUGAAAUGAUGGUCAUGUGUACUCCAGUACUUGAUUUGAUCUACAUGCGUGGCCUAAAUUGAUAAACACCUUGGUACUUGACCUGUUAAAGUUGAAGCUCACUCGGUCAUUGCCCAUCUUAUAUCUCCUCUUGUAAUGUACACUGUUAUAAUUGCUCUUAUGGUUGUUGCUAUCAUUACAAUUUUUUAAUUGUAGCAGUCAGUCUCCGUACCACUAACAUUAAGUAUUUCAUUGUUUUUGUGCCCUGGGAUUUUAUUGAAUGUUUAAAAUCUGUGCAGAUCCAAUUGUUGAAUACAAUAGCUACUGUGAAAGAUGAUGGAACUGUAGAAUUUGAAGUUCCUGGGGAUUUUGGACCCCACGACCUUGGUGGUGCGUCUCAAGAUGUAUACACUGAGGUUGCUCAUGAUGAGCCCCUCGAUGCAACAGAUCUUCAGUACAUUCCACCAUUGCAAAUAGUAAUGCUUAUUGUUGGCACACGUGGUGAUGUGCAACCUUUUGUUGCAAUUGGCAAACGUUUGCAGGUGAGAAGCAUAUCUUCACAUUCAAAAUUUUCCCUGUUUUUCUUCCUCGAGUUCAGUUUGCAGUAAUGUGUUCAUCAUCUAACAUUUGUAAUUCUAGAUGUGAGCUUAUGUAUUCUACUCAAUAUUUUCUAAUAACUUCAAUUGAUAAUGGCUCCUUGGAUUGGUUAUGUUUGGUAAAGUGUUAUAUAAACGCAAAAGAAAGUUCAAUCUUUUUGCCACUUUUACCUUCUUUUUCUUGUUAUGCUGUAUUUUUUAUUUUCUGAAUUGUAGAUAGUCAAAAUUUGUGCUCAUUUCUAGUCAAUGGAAAGAAGCAUGAAAAUUUUGAAAUUUGAAAUUUUUACUUUCAGCAGUUGAAGAAGUUAUUAUGUGGAUUCAAUAUUUACCAGAGAUGUGCAUGCAGGACUAUGGCCAUCGCGUUAGAUUAGCAACUCAUUCAAAUUUCAAGGAUUUUGUCCUGACUGCUGGGUUGGAGUUCUAUCCUUUAGGUGGUGAUCCGAAAGUUCUUGCAGGAUGUAUGUAUCUAAAUGUGUCAGUUACAUUUAUACUAGAGACACACACACACACGUAUAUGUAUGUAUAUGUGUUUGGUCCAAAAGCAUACAUGGCUUGCUCACAGUACUCAACACACAAUUGCUGCAAUUGAGUCUUUAAAUAUAUCUGGGGCUGUGAACCACUUCUGAUUAUCAUAAAAUCUAAUUAUUGUUUCUAUCAUGUUGAAAUUAAGGAAAAUUAUUCUAAUUUUUUCCUUGUAAAAUCAUAGGUUUCAAGAAGUUGGUUGAUUUGCCCACUCGAAAGAGUGUUUCUGUUUCCAGUUUGUCGCCUUGCAUUUCUUAUUAGGAUUCAUUCAUGUUCUCUUUCUUAUUUCAUUUAUGAAAAUUAUGCUCAAUGAUAAUGUAGCUCCCUUCACCAAAUUUGUUUUCCUUGGACAUUUACUGUCUUUGGUGGUUUUUACUUUCAGCAGAAAACUACAAAGAUAUAUUCUUGAGAUUUACUAAAUCAAUAUUUGAUUCAAAAUAUUUUGCACAACCUAUAUAAAUAAACUUGCAGAAGCUUUUACUGGCAACUUAUAAUUAAUGGCUUUACUUUUUACUGAACAGAUAUGGUCAAAAAUAAAGGCUUCUUGCCAUCAGGCCCUUCUGAGAUACCAGUUCAAAGAAAUCAAAUGAAGGAAAUUAUAUACUCUUUACUUCCAGCUUGCAGAGAUCCUGAUUUAGAUUCUGGAAUCGCUUUUAAGGCAGAUGCAAUCAUUGCUAAUCCCCAGCAUAUGGUAAGGUUUUAACCUUCAAGUCUGUUAUAAUGUUUCAAAUUGUGCUGUCUAUUUUUUAUAGUCAGAUUCUAUUUGCAUUCUUCCUUUUAUAUCAUGGUAGUUAUAUCCUUUUUCUUAUUUCAUUUUCUUUUAAAUAUGUGCAUUGGAAAUUGAUCAUGCUAGACCCCUGUCAUAUCUGUAGACUCUGUCUUGUCCUUGUGACCUUUUCAUAAAUCUCAUUACGUCUAUUCUUUUUCUUAUUAAUUUCUUUUUGGAAUAUGUUGUUUGGGAAAUUAUCACUGGUUGAUCUUUGUCAUUUUAUAUGCUUAGAUCUUUUUGUUAUGGAGAAUUGUUUAAGUUAAUUUGAUAUAUAUUUUGCAAUUGACUCUGGCAAAUGCUUCUCUAGGGCAUGUCCACGUGGCAGAGGCGCUGAAAAUCCCAAUUCAUAUAUUUUUCACUAUGCCAUGGACGUAAGUCUUGUCUGGGUAAUGGAAUCUAGCUGAUUUUAUUGUAGUUUAACAUCUUUGAAGUUUUCUUUUUUACAAAUUUUGCUUUCUUCUUGUUUUGUCUCAGUUAGUUGUUUUAUUGCAUGGUUUGAUGGAGAAUCUUAAAUUGCUUUCGUCAAUCUUUUUCCUCCAGGCCAACCAGUGAGUUUCCACAUCCUUUAUCCCGUGUCAAGCAACCAGCUGGAUAUCGGGUGAGACCAUUAAAUUCUGUCCUUUACCACAUGAUUUGACUCCUCCAUUCUUAUGAUGCUUUUGUGGUUGAUUGUUGGCCCUUCCUCUUUUGCAGCUGUCAUAUCAAAUUGUUGACUCCUUGAUUUGGCUGGGAAUACGGGACAUGAUAAAUGAUGUUAGGAAAAAGAAGCUGAUGCUACAACCUGUGACAUAUUUAAGUGGUUCCCAGGGUUUUGAUUCAGAUGUGCCUCAUGGGUAUAUAUGGAGUCCGCACCUUGUUCCUAAACCAAAAGGUUGUCACUUUGGACAUGAUACUGUUGAAAGAUAUCAUACCUCAUCUGAUCGUCAUUUUGUCUAUCAAUAAAAUGUUCCCUUUUCUCUAUCACUAUGUACAUUCUUGACCAACAAAGAGCCCAAGAAAACCUCUGAAGAUUUUUAUGAGAUUAUGUUAUCGGCCAUUUUUGCCAUAACUUCAGAAUCUUAGAUUGUCUGCGUUGUUUGAUCUGGGUACCAUUGCUACAUUAUGGAAGUAGCAUGGAGCCCUGUUUCAUUACUGUUGUCAAUAUUUUUCGUUCUUAAUUGCAAUACUUUUUUAUGAGCUGAUUUGGCUAGCUGCUUUUUUAGUGGCUAAAGCUGUUCUGGGUCUUUUGUAUCUGCUUUGCUUAAUUUGGUGAUACUUAUUCAAUGCUUUGUUGGGUAGAGUUUAGUGUACUUUUUGCAUAAAUGUCAUAUAUCAUCAAUACCUGUACAUUUUUGUCUUCAUCACACAUUUGAAUAAGUACAAUGCAGAACAAAUUAUUUGAGGGAUGCUUAUUUCUGGUUUACUUUUUUAUUGCAUGAUUUGCAGAUUGGGGACCUAAGGUUGAUGUGGUUGGAUUUUGCUUUCUUGAUCUUGCAUCAAACUAUGAACCUCCAGAAUCACUUGUAAAAUGGCUUGAAGCUGGUUCAAAGCCUAUUUACAUUGGAUUUGGUAGCCUUGUGAGUUUGUUUUGUUGGACCUCAAAUUAUUUCUCUGUUAUUGUGGAUUAUGAACUUUACAAACUAUUGAGGCCUUCUUUAGUGUGGUAUUUUGAGCUGUGAAACUCUGAGGCUUGGCCUCUUUGAUCCUUGAAGCCCUUAAUUAUUGAUGAAUAUAAAUCCAAUUUACAAAAAGACCAAUCACAACUAGGACUGUUGACUCCUUCAAGUAUUGAACUUUAUUAGAAAGGUCAAUAUUCUUUUGUUUAUAUUAUGAGUUACCAAUGCUCAUAACUUGUAGUAACCUUUUCUUGGUAUGUGGAUAUAUAAAAUCCUAUGAAAUGUAGUGUGAGGAUAUAAAAUAACUAUAGGAAAGGAUGCUUUAUCUGUGAAUAAAAUGGGUAGGAGGAAGUGAGCGAAGUUUAAUUCAAAUUACCAGCUUGAUGUGAUUUAUCAAGUCCGUACUAGUAAAGUCUGUUUCCUCUUUCCUUCAUCACAAUAUGUUCAUUUUAACAAUCAUUUUCAUGAUACGGUCUAAUUAUAUUUGACCAUGUGACUUAUUUGAGAAAAACUGGUAAAAGGUUUUCAAUUUUCUUUUAAAAUUUAAGGUAAAGAUGAAUAAGUUGCUAAUAUUUUUCAAUUCUGUGUUUUUUAGUAAACAACGUCACUGUAGUGUUUUCUGGAAGUGGACUCAUUCAAUCUUCUAGUAGAUGUAGCAUUCCCUAAUCAAGUAUUGACUAUGCAUGAGUGCGUUUUAGAUCCCCCGAAACAAGAGUAAAUACUGGCAUGAUAUAGGAUCUUUGAUUCUUCAUUAUAUUAGCUCUCAACUUCUUUAUUUUUAUUUGUCCCUGCUCUUUCUCUUGUUACUCAGCCUGUUCAAGAGCCAGAAAAAACGACCCAGAUAAUCGUGGAAGCAUUUGAACAAACUGGACAGAGGGGUAUUAUAAACAAAGGCUGGGGUGGCCUUGGUAACCGUAAGUUUUUACUGAUGAAGCGCUUCAUCUGUUACCUAUAACCCUCUGUUAUCUCUUCUUAUUCUUCUACUUGUUUCCCUACCACAUUGUGUAGCCAUAUGAACGAGACUUCAAAUGCACUUAGUUGUAUCUUAUUUCCUUUUCAGUGGCUGAACCAAAGGACUCAAUAUACCUAUUGGACAACAUUCCCCAUGACUGGUUGUUCUUACAAUGCAAGGCUGUGGUAAGUCUGCAGCUCUUGAGCAGGUUCAACAUUAUGUUCAUUCAUCGUCAUGUGUACUUUGAUUGUUUAUUGUCUUCAUUGUGGAAUGCGUUUAGUUAGUUAUGGUAAUUAUAGGCCCGGCCAUGCUUCCAGUCGGUCCUGCCUUCUCCUGGGAUGAUGGAUGUUAUCAUAAAAUAUUGUUGAGUUACCCUCAUGCCCUAUUGUUGCUUGAUCUCAAUGUGGGGACCAGUAUUAUCUACACUAAUUUAUGUCGUAUAAUCAUCAUGCGUACUCAGUAAAAUUAGAAUGUUAGAUAUAUGUACAGAAAAAGGUAUGAUUGAAUUAAACCAAGGGGAUGAUUUCUUCUUCUUGCGUUGACACUGGUGUAGAUUAACAUUGGAGUGGAAAUAAGCAGAGAGACGAGGUGUUUUCUUAAAAAUUUUUGGACGGAUUUUAUAUGAAUCUAGUAAUAAAGCAUGAUAUAUUUAUAUUCGUUAUGGCAAGAUCAUUGCUGGGUAAAUGCAUGUGGAAGUAUUCGACGAGAAUCGAGAAAUCCUUUCAACUCUCUUUGAAAUUUCUUUUGAUGUUACACUGUUUCAUUUUUUUUUUUUUUUUUGUCUUUUGUGCUUGUGAUGGCAAGAUCUUAUUGGUCUUCCUUUGUUUUCAGGUUCAUCACGGUGGUGCGGGUACAACUGCAGCCGGUCUUAGAGCUGCGGUAAUAUUGAUGGCUAUCUUUUAACAUAGAUUAAGUACUUACACUUCUGCAUGACGUGAUUCGUGCCUUAUGUUGACAAAUUUGUUGAAAUAUAGUGCCCAACAACCAUUGUACCUUUCUUCGGUGACCAGCCUUUCUGGGGAGAGCGAGUACAUGCCAGAGGAGUAGGUCCUCCGCCCAUUCCGGUUGAUGAAUUCUCACUUCCCAAGUUGAUUAAUGCAAUAAAUUUCAUGCUAGAUCCAAAGGUAGUAGAAAUUUUUUUGCAUUCCCCAAUUAAUUAUUUAACUUUAUAUUUGCUUAGGCCUAGUCGUACUGAGCUUCAUCUUAAAGAAAGGACAGAGUUCUUUUUUGCUUUUCUAAUCAAAAUGCAUCCUGCAAAGCAUGCCAAAAGUCUGAACAGUAGCUCUGCUUUUGAACUAUUUGUGCGAUGACUGAUACACCUGCCCAGAAAUAAGAUAGUCUUAUCACGGCAGUACAGGAUGUAUUAGGUGGAAUAAUUUAAGAGUUCAGUCUUACCUGAUAAGAUGAAAGAAAAAGCAGUAACACAAUCAAAUGAAUUUGAAUUUCCAUAUUUGGGUAGAGCAUUAGGAUACUUUUGAUGGGGAUUUAAUUCAUAGAAGAAAGUGCAAGUGCAAGAAAUGUUUUUAACCAUAUUGGAUUAUGAUUCUGACGCAUAGGAAACAUGACAGGUGAAGGAGCGUGCAGUUGAACUUGCCGAGGCCAUGGAGAAGGAAGACGGGGUAACUGGAGCAGUGAAAGCGUUUUUUAAACAUUAUCCUCGCUCAAAGACUCAGCCUAAGCCGGAGAGGGUAGAAAUCUAAGGCUCUAUUUGAUAUUACUGUUUGUGUGCAAUGACGUUGGGUGGUGGGUGGUCGAGAUUGUGCAUGAGCUGCUGCCUCUCUUUCUUGUAAUAGUAUUCAUGUUAAUAACAUAUUAGAUGUGUGUGUGUUUUAGAUGUUCUGUUUUCUUUUAAUUUAAUGGUUAAAAAUCGAGCAAGGGCUCGAAUUCUUAUCCCGAUGUAAUUGGCUCCUAAUCCUUGAGCCUUAAUCCCACCUUUGACCCUUAAAAAAUUUUACAAAAAGUUUAUCACAGCUUGCAAGUGGGUUUGAUACUUAUUAAAACUUGUAGUGACGGAUUUUUUUUUUUAAAUAUAUAUAAUCCACAAGAAAUUGCAUACGGAUUUAAUAAUUUAAAUUUUUUACGAAUUUGAAUAUGAAUUUAAUAAUGUUUAGGGAUGGCAAUGGGGAGGGGAGGGGAGGGGACCAAUCACCCUGUACCCAUCCCUGAUAUUUUGCGUAUGUCCAUGUCCCUUCUCUAUCUCUGUCAAAAUUAUUUAAGAGAAUCCUCAUUCCCUCCCCGAAUAAUAAUAGGGGAUCCCCGAAGGUCCCCGAUCCCCGAAUAACUAAUAUAUAUUUUUUGUUUUCGAUUUUGAGUUAAUCAUAUUAAAAUAAAAAAUUCAAAUAAAAGUAAAGUUCGAAAUAUAUCUUACAUUAAUAUCCAUUACAAAAGUCACAUACAUUAAAUUAGUAAGUAACACAGCAUGCAAGGGAUACAAACUAUCAUGAACAAAUUAAUAGCCUAAUACAAAAUUGUUACAAAUAAAAUUAAAUUUAGAUUCAAAAUUAACUUUUCAAUGGUGGCGUGGGCACUUUAUAAAUGUAGACUAUUCUUUUUACAACACAAUAGUUAAGUCGAAGCAAAUCAAGAGCAAAAAUUAGAUUAUAUUAGAUAUUAAAAUUGUGAUUUGCUGUGGGCAAUUAUAACAUCUAAAAAUAAAUAAAUAAAAAAUAGAUUUAAGUUAAAAAUAUUUAAUGAAUAUUAAAAUUAAAACAAAAGUUUUGGGCUAAUAGAAUCUGUCCGAUCUUUUUAAUGUCCUAAAUAAAAAUUUAGGACUUUAAUUAGUUAAUUAGGCCUAAAAGUUUAAUAAUAUAAAUAUUUUGAUAUUUUUUAUUUUUACCAAUACUUAUAAUUUUAUAAUUCAAAUUUUAUUAUUUAUUUACUAGUAAUUUUAAAAAUUAAAAAUUAAAAUGAGGAAAUGGGUAGGGGAUGGGGAUUCCACCUCAUCUCCGUCCCCUCCCUGAAUAAGAAAUUAGGUAUAAAAUUAUCUCCAUAUCCUCCCCAAAUAAAAAAAAUUUCCAAAAAUACCCGUCCCUGUAGAAAUUUUUACCAUCCCUAAUAAUGUUAAACCCCGAUCGCGUGGUACUCAUUGCAUCGCUACUGAUGACUGCUGGUGUUCGAAUGAAAAAUCAUUUAUGAGCAGAAGAAGAUCUUGUGGGUCCUGGAAAGCAAAUAAUCUAAGGCUCUAUUUGAUAUUACUGUUUAGCCGUUCCAAGUUAUUUACUAAACAAUUACAAUUACAAUUUUAAUUUAAAAAUAAAAAAUGGUUUUAUUCACAGUUGUUCAAUGAAAACUUUACAUUAUUAUUUUUUCAAUUAACUUUAAAAAUUAUAUUUAUUAAAUACUAAUAACUUUAUCUUAUAACUAUAACUUUUAUGUCACAUGACUUGUGGCCAAAGUCUCACUGUAUAGGAACACAUUAUCCUUUUUUCUUUCUCAUGAACAAGUUUAUUGCGUUACCAUCAUUAUCGUACAGCUAUAAUGAUUAAGUGUUAUUGUUCAAUUAUUGAUGGACCACACAAUCAGAUUUUUACAAGAAUUUUUGUAUUUAAAUAAAUGAAUCGAAUUGGAAUGAAAUCAAAAUUGAAUGGAUUUGAAUACCAUUCAUUUAUUAUAUGAAUAUCUAUUUAAUUUCUUUAUUGUAUAAAAUUAAACAAAUCGAUUGAAUUUAGAUUCGUUUAUAUUUUUUUAUAUAAAAUUAAUAACAAAUCAAUUGAAUAUGGGUUCAUUUACAAAAACAAUAAUUAAUAAAUAAAAAUCAAGCAAAAUAGAAUAGAACUGCAAAAUUAAAAUCCUACCAAAAACAAACGAAUCACAAAUGGAUAAAUAAAUAAGUGACCUCAAAAUAACAAUUCGAUUCCACCAAUUUAAUAAACAAAUUAAUCUUUUCAAACCGAGACCCGUUUAAUUUAAAUCAAAUUGCAUUAAAUAAAUAUAUCACAACUUAAAUUGCCACCCCUACUCAUAAAUGAAGCAGUUAUGUGUCGACUAACUGUUUUUUCUUUAUUUUUAAAGAUUAGUCAACUGAAGUAAAUUAGGCCGACUUGUGGACUACUGCCCUCACAUUAGAGUCUUAAUGGACUCAGUUUUUCCCCUCAAUUAAGAAUAAUAGAGUGGAGGUCAUUGCAAUCUUUCUUAAAAGAUUGAGAGGGUAGAAAUCUAUCUAAUUAUCUAAUUGUAAUGCCAUCAAAUGCUUCAUAAGGAUGUAAUAUAAUAAGAAUUUAAUGCAAAACUAAUAAUACCAGUAGUUGUCUAAUUAUAAUAUCAGUAGUUUUCUAUAAUAAUAUCAAAUGUCCUAUCAAGUCAUCUAACUGUAUCAUUCGUAUUAAACUAAAACAAAAAAAAAAAAAAACUGAAGCAAAUUGAAAGAAAGGUGAAUAGUGUUGCUUUGGUUUCUGAAUAUAUUAUUGGUAAUUUUUUAUUUAUUAGUUGGGUUAUUUUUAGAGACCUCCCCUGAGGUUUAGUGUAUUAACAACUAGAUAAAAUAUAUUGAUAUAAUUACAGAAACUUCCCCUGCUGUUAGUAUAAAAAUAUAUAUGGCAUCAGUAUAGAAGGGUAAAUGUGUAAAAUUAUAUUUAAAAUUCAAAAUAUAUUUUUACUAGAUCAAUGAUAUUUUGACUGACUUGCCCGCUGUUGAUCGAACUUAACCAGUUGGCCAUGACUCCACCGGCAGCUAAUAGUGGUGCUUUGCCACUGCCGGAGUCCCCUCUUCACCCUGGUUACCAACCCCAGUCACGGAAGCCUCUGAAUCAGCCAUAGCCACCAUCACGCAUUAACCCAAAAAGAUGGCUUUUGUCUCACAACAGCCCCCACACCGGCAGCACCCCUUUGGUCAUUGCUGAUGUCACCCAACUGCUAUCACCCUUGAGCCAUCCCAAAACUUAACCACACACAGCUCUCAAAACCAUAGCUCACGGCUGGUCACACCGCAUACCACUACCGUAAUUUCUACCAUAAGUGAUGGUUCCAUUUCGUCGUCGUCUAUCCCCUCAACCAACCCCCAUGAAGUCCUGGCCUCAAUAAACAUCUCAACAGCCACAAAACCCACAUUCAAACUCAUGAGAUCUCGCUGCCGCCAUCUUGUCAAAGUCCGUUGAUGGUGCUUCACUGCAAACGGAACCUCUUUAAGCCCAACACACCACCAAUAGGCAUUUUGUUGAACUGGGUUUUCAAACAAUUUGUUGAUUCUAACGCAGUUAAUUGCUUUGUUGAACUAGGUUUUCAAACAAUUUGUUAAGAGUCCAAAUCUGGCUACGGCUGCAAGACCGUGAAAUCUCCUGAAAGCAAGAACAAUUGACUGGCUUUGCAUCUCUUUGUCUUUUAGAUAGGCACCAGCUUUCGGAUCCUUUGCAGCCAACUGAUCAAUUAUUAAAAAUAGUCAGAGACAUAAGAAGGGAAGCCGUAAACAUUUGGAGGACACGGGUUGGUUUCGAAAGCAUAGAGCUGGGCAACGGAGAAAGAAAGGAAGGGAACAAGGUAGAAAGAAGACAAGAUGGCGUUGAAAGUGUAUAAGCCAAGCCAAAGGACGGCGACAAGGAAGAUGGCAGGCAGCAAAAACAGUGGUUGAAGACCCUGUUAAUCGGUGGAAGCAGCAGCCGGCCAAACCUAUUACCCAUAAAUUCUCAAAGCUACAUUUAAUAAUUUAUUAUUUUGUUGAGAAGGGUAUUUUAGUAAUUUUGAGAGUCUACUAACAGUCAACUUAAUGACUAAUUAACGGCAAGAGAGGUUUCUAUAAUUAUAACAAUAUAUUCUAUCUAAAUGUUAAUAAAUUAAACCUCAGGGGAGAUCCUUAAAAAUAAUCCUUUAUUGAUUAUACUCGUUUUAAUGCUUUUGUCUGAUGAUCACAUGCUUACAUCUGUGAAAGAGAGAGAACGAUCGACUGGGACUGAAUGAUGGAGGACAAAAUUGUUGCAAAAGAAGAUGACACGGAGGAAAAAAACAACGAAAUUCUAUAGCCGUAGGGUGUAGCCCGCACAAUCAGAGAAUAUUUCAUUUUUCACAUCAGAUUUCAUUUAUUUGACCAAAAUGCCCUUACUCGGACAGUUUGCACACGUGUCAAUAAAGAUCGAAAACUAAAUAAAUGAAAAAACCGCAAGAAUCCAUAGGACCCGUCACCCACUGCGUCGGGCGUGCCUUCUCUCUCGAGUCUUCAGAAUCCGCGAAAGCAAAAAUCUCCCUUGUUUUACGCCACUAGUGAGAAUCCAUAACACACACACACACACACACACACACAUAACGGCUCGAUUUUGAAAUUUAAAAAUUAAAAUGAACUAAAAACAACGCCCUCUGAAAUCUAUAACGUAAGUUGGAUCUGGAUCAGAAGCAUUGAGGCAAUCUUGAUCGACGGUUCUUGCCGCAAUCGGAGUCAUCGCCGAUGGCGGAGCCACCUGUGAAGUCGCGGAGCUCUUCUUCCUCGAGCUCCAGUGAAGUUUCUAUUAAGCUUGAGCGCGAAAUUGGCGGUGGAAGUAGCAGUGAAGGUAAAGAAGUGUACAACAGAGAGACGAGUACCAGUGUGAGUGCCGUAAAAAAUGGAAAUGCUGAGUCCUCCGGUUAGUUGAUUUUUUUUUUCCUUUUUUUUCUGCAUACUUACUGAAAUUAUUAUUCGCAAGCAAAUCCUGAACUUCCAAGGAUAAGAUUGAGCCUAUAAGGGGAGCGUAUUGAGAGUUUCUUACGUAUUUUAUAUGUAGGUUUUCAUAUUAUUAUGUUCUUAUUGUUUGUUUU